UACCUGGUUGAUCCUGCCAGUAGUCAUAUGCUUGUCUCAAAGAUUAAGCCAUGCAGGUGUAAUUAUGAACUAUUUCAAACGGUGAAA
rnacentral:rRNA from 1 species